UCAAACUUUUAUGAUGACUGCAUAGUUCAGAUGAACAUUCUGAUUACAACUAGCAUCUUGUCUUUCGCUCCUAUCUGAUAUUUAUU